rnacentral:rRNA from 1 species
AGGUAGUAGAAUCCUCAUUCAAAACCAAUAAAUUAUGGCGGCAUUUUACCUGAUUAGAGGAAUCUGUUUAUUAAUCGAUAAUCCGCGAUAACCUUCACUUUUUAUUAAAUUUUAUAUACCUCCGUAUAGAAUAAAUUUAAAAAUUUUAUUCGAAAAAUUUCUAAAAAAAUAGGUAAAGGUGUAGACCACUAAAAAGUUUAAAUGGAUUACAUUUAAAACAAUUAAAGGCUAAAAAUUUAACAAAUUUUUUAAAAAAGGAUUUAAAAGUAAUUUUAAAAUAAUAUUUUAUUUUGAAUUAGGAAAAAAAUGUGC